rnacentral:rRNA from 1 species
CGAAAGCCUGACGGAGCAACGCCGCGUGAGGGAUGAAGGCCUCUGGGCUGUAAACCYCUUUUCUCAAGGAAGAAGAUCUGACGGUACUUGAGGAAUAAGCCACGGCUAAUUCCGUGCCAGCAGCCGCGGUAAUACGGGAGUGGCGAGCGUUAUCCGGAAUUAUUGGGCGUAAAGCGUCCGCAGGCGGCCUUUCAAGUCUGCUGUUAAAGCGUGGAGCUUAACUCCAUCAUGGCAGUGGAAACUGUUUGGCUUGAGUGUGGUAGGGGCAGAGGGAAUUCCCGGUGUAGCGGUGAAAUGCGUAGAUAUCGGGAAGAACACCAGUGGCGAAGGCGCUCUGCUGGGCCAUAACUGACGCUCAUGGACGAAAGCCAGGGGAGCG